rnacentral:rRNA from 1 species
CCCGGGCCUUGUACACACCGCCCGUCACACCAUGGGAGUUGGUUUUACCUGAAGGCGGUGCGCUAACCCGUAAGGGAGGCAGCCGACCACGGUAGGGUCAGCGACUGGGGUG